GGGUGUAACUCAAUGGUAGAGUAGAAGCCUUCCAAGCUUAAUGUGAGGGUUCGAUUCCCUUCACCC
rnacentral:tRNA from 1 species